rnacentral:lncRNA from 1 species
CAUCAAAAACCUAAGAGAGACUAAACACUGACAAGGACACAAUCGAAUUAACCCCAUUUAGAUCGAAGGAACAUGAAAAUUUUUAGAAAUAGACGGCGAAUAAUUCGUGGAGGAAGCUUUAGUAUUUACCUGCUGAUCGAGUGGCUUUUUCCGGGAAUUUUGCCGAGAAAGAAAGUUUCUGGAGAAAUUGGAAGUAGCGAUUUCGAAAUCUCUGCAGGGACCUAAGCAGACAGAACGAGCCCACUUUUGACGAAGCUGUGUCUUCAAAUCUGGACGUGAACUUUAAACUCAAAUUCUAUUGUGUUAUGGAUAUAUGGGCCUACUUGAAGCCCAUUAAGGUUUUACAACCCAACAUAUAACUCCGCUAUGUUUUCCCUAGAUUUAUGUUGGUUCCUAUAGCUUUUUUACAUAUCCGAAUUUGAAUUAUAGUGAAAGUCAGAUUAUGUAUCCUAACCAAAGAUUGAGAACUUUCGAAUACCGAAAAGAAAUCUUAAACAAAUGCUCGAAUAUAUUUAAAUAAAAAUUCUAAGUAUUAAGUAUAGUUCAUUUUUUUUUUCAAUUAUUUCUCGAUGUUGUUUCAAUUAGCUGUGGAAGUGUACUAUAAUAACCAAAAUUAAGGAUCAUGUGUCGUAGUGGAUUUGAAUGAGCUGGAAGACAAACAUAACAUAUGUAAAUCAAGUGUCAUUAGAUCCCGUUACAUUUAUUUAUUUUAUAUUAUAUGAAAUAUAAAAUUAAUCGAAUAUCCACUAAAACAAAGUUUACGAUAAUUUGUUUUACUAAAAGUUGAUUAUUUUAGUUUUUUUUUUCAAGGAUUAUUUUUCACUACUAUAUUACACUUGUGACUCAAGUCGAUCUAUACAAACUAUCAUGUUUGGGGGCGAUUUAGCACGUUGCAAGCAAUUUUGAAAUAACAAAUGAUAAAUUGUGCACACAGUUUGUUCAUUAGGAUUCUUUAAUAAAAAUAUUGACUCAAUGCAGAGAUUCAAUUUAAUAUUAUAAUAUACUAUAAAUAUGUUCAUAACAUAUUAGAUUAUGCCAAUAAUUUAUAAAUUUCGUAAUUACCUCAAACAAAUCUCUAUUUUAAUAACCAAAAGAUUUCAAAUUGAAAAGAAAAAAACUUUUCUAAAUUAACACAAGAUGAGUUUUUUAGUCAACUCAAAAUAGUAGCUAACUUUUUUAAUUAACUCAAAAUAAUUUAUUUUAGACGCGAUUCAGUUAUGAUAUUUUGAUUUUUGAUCUAAUUGAUUUAUAUGUAAUCUUAUCUUGUAAUUUGUUGACAUAAAUAAACUCAUUUUCAAACUAUAUUAAUUUUUAAAAAAUAAUAUUACUUUCCUUUUUUAUAUCUUAAAUUGUUUUUAUCUAUAAUUGAGUAUCAUAUAUAUAUAUAAAUUCAUUCUAAUAUUAUAUAUAAAGACUAACAAAAAAAAUUCACUUACUACUAUAAUAUUUCAAAACUUUAUUCUAGAAUAUAUAAUAAUAAAAAAUUUGAACUAAAUAAACUCAUAUAUACAUGUUGAUCCAUGUUGAGAGGUUAUGUUGUACUUGUUGUUUUGUUCGGAAUUUCUGAAAUUUGUAGUUUGUGGAGUUGCCUCGUAGAUUUUAGGUUUACAAUCUUAGAGGUAUUAUUGUUCAUGCUUAGAGAUAUUGAUUACUCGUUUUAAGCUUUUAGAUUUGCAUUUGCUUCUUCUAAAUUUUGGAGGUAUUGAUUACUCGUUUAAGCUUCUAGAUUUGUCUUUGUUUCUUCUUCGGCGAUUUUAGGUUUACAAUUUUCUGUCUGAAUCUCUAUUGCUCCUUGUCGCUAUUUUCUGUCUGAAUCUCUGAGUUUAGGUUCAAUUGCUUCUUCUCAAUUCUUCUCCAACUUUUCCUCUUCUUCUCUUAACAAAUGUGUAAUUGGCUAAAAUCUUGGUUUUGUGGACACACUGACAUUAAAACAACUGUGGAUGAUUGUGUUACACUUGUGAAUGGGGAUGUGGAAACUUUGGAAAAUUUGGAAGUUGGUUAUCGGAGGUAGAUCGUGACAACUGAAAAUAAGAGGGGUCAAACUACAAAUGACGGAAGUAAGCUUUUAACAUUGUUAUUGAUAAGUAAGCUUACCAUUCUUACUGAUCUUUGAUCAUUUUCUUUUUUUCUUUUACCACAGAAAUUGCUAUGUACAACGACGAGACUAGACUUUUAGGAUUAGAGUGUGAUUAAACCAACAGACAGUUCACAGCCUUUGGGGAAGAGGUAACCAUUCUUCUUUUUCGAAAUUUUCAUAUGUAUUAUCGUUUUGAUAGUCAUAUCUUUAUAUAUAUAUAUAUAUAUAUAUUUUAUUACAGAUAGCUAAAAUCAUAAGUUUCAAAAGAGCGAGAUAAUUUUUUGGUAGCGUGAAUACUAUGAACAACGUUAGAGCAAGAUACAACUGGUAAGAGUGUUUAAAGUUUAAAUUAUCUAAAUAUUUCAUAUUUAAUAUCUGAUAAAUGUUUUUUAUACCUUUUUUUUUUGGCAGAGGGGAAAAAUAGUACAAAGCAUGAUCGUCCGUAUAUAGUAAAACAAAAGAAAAAAAUCGGUUGUUUUCCAGAAAAAUCAAGUACUAUAGGAUUUUGGUUUAAGAGUACCCUACUAUGUUGUUAUUAUGUGAAGUCACUAUUCAAAUUUUGUUCCACUGCAUUUGUUUCAGCUUUAUUUGUUCCCCUUUUUUUCUUUCCUUCUAAUUCUGGUAUUCUUAAAAGGAAAAAAUGAGGGACCAACGGUCAUAUUGCAACGGGCGUCAUUCUCUCGGUAGUGACACGUGCUAUAAUGCCCACUUUUAUUCAUUUUUAUUGUAAACAAGUUGUUUAAAACCAUCAAUAAACGGGGACAAGAACCAAACAUCAACAAUUAUAACAACGCGUUUUGUUAUAAGGAUAAAUUUAUCAUUUUUCUUCUAUCAAAACCCAAUGAUCAUACCCUUGAAUCUUGCUUGAUCACGCGUAUCCUCCAACUUCCAGUAGAUUAAAUUUCCCAAGUACUUAACGUUACUUUUAGUUUAUCCUUUUAACUCCUUUUUAAUUUUCUGAAUCAAUACCAGGUAAAUCAGGGGGGUUCAAACUUAGUCUAUCUUCUUAACUCUUUUUUGUUUUUAAAUGUUUUGUAGACUAUGUAAACUCUCAUCCUAAAUCUACUUUUUAACUUUUCUAUCGAUAGCAAUAAAAAGUUGUAAAGUAUCUACACAAAAACAAGAUGAAAUGGUCAAAAGUCUGUGACUAGCUAGUGUUUGUAUUUUAAUUCAGAAAGACUUUAAUGAGUUUAUAGUCGUGCUCUUUAGUGUUAAAAUAACAAUUACUCCUAGACUUUUAGUUAUUUUUUAUUGCAUUCUUGGAUAUCCUCCAACAAUAUUGUAUUAUUCAAAAAAUUUUUUACUAAAGUCCAUAAAGCAAUGAGGUAACGUCUAGGUCAAUUAAUGGAUGGAUCAUCCAACGGUUGUACCAAAAAAUACUAUAGAGAUUAAAAAAAAGCAUAUCUCUGAAUUAUUAUUAUUUACGUCCCCAUCUCUCUUCCUCUAUAAAUAGUAUAAGCAGAGACAAUAUUCAUUUCAAGUUCCUCUGUAUACCAAACUAUCAAAAAAACUCUCUCCAUUUCUGUUCUCAACAAAGCCAAGAGUUAUGGUGAGAGUCUUUCUUCUCUACAACCUCUUUAACUCCUUUCUUCUUUGUUUAGUUCCCAAGAAGCUUAGAGUUUUCUUCCCUCCUUCUUGGUACAUCGACGACAAGAACCCACCACCGCCUGAUGAAUCGGAAACUGAAUCUCCGGUAGAUCUAAAACGAGUGUUUCAGAUGUUCGACAAGAACGGAGAUGGACGCAUCACAAAGGAAGAGCUGAACGAUUCUCUAGAGAAUCUAGGAAUCUUUAUGCCUGACAAAGAUCUGAUCCAGAUGAUCCAGAAGAUGGAUGCAAAUGGAGAUGGGUGUGUAGACAUAAACGAGUUUGAGUCUCUUUAUGGUUCGAUUGUGGAGGAAAAGGAGGAAGGGGACAUGAGAGACGCGUUCAAUGUGUUUGAUCAAGACGGUGAUGGAUUUAUCACUGUUGAGGAGUUGAAUUCUGUGAUGACUUCCUUGGGGCUCAAGCAAGGUAAAACCCUAGAAUGUUGUAAAGAGAUGAUUAUGCAAGUGGAUGAAGAUGGAGAUGGUAGAGUCAAUUACAAGGAAUUCCUUCAGAUGAUGAAAAGUGGUGACUUUAGCAAUAGAUCAUGAGUUUAUUCUGACAUGGAGAAGAAGGACCAAUAUAUUUACCUCUAGUCCUCUACUAUAUAUGAUUAAUGUAUCAGCUUUCUCCAAGUUAAGAAAUUUGGGCAGGGAUCGAAUCAACGCAAAUAGUAAAUAAGUAACUUGACAUAGAGUCUAGGAAAUUUCAUCAAUCCACGAAUCAUUCAUACAUAAUAUAUCUUUGUUUGGGGUAUAGUACCAUAAGAUAUAGAUAGAUAAGAGUCUAAAAAGAAGAAAAACAAGUAAAAUUAAAGAAGAAACAAAAUUGCCUAGUCUUUUGGGCGGUGGUGAAAUCUCUAUGCUGCAAUGCUUUAUCAAUAUGUUUUUGUUGGAGUCUUUCGACGAAACCCAACUGUUUUCACAGAAGAAAGUGAAAGCCAAGCAAAACGUUAAUUCAGUAAUAAAAUCCCUUUUUAAUAAAAAUAUGUAAAAUAAAAUAAAAUGCUGGCCGAUCAUAGCUCACUUCUUUUUGAAGAUACAGCCGCAAAGUGGCAUGGUAUUUAGCUUCCUUUUCGGCUUUCUCCUUUCUUUCCAAAUGUACUGAUCAUCAAGUUGCAUGAAAAUUAUUACUAGAGAGGUAAAUCAAAUAUUAUAAGUAAUUGCUACAGAAGGUAGGAAAAAAAAAAGAUGUGGUCGUAGUCGUAGUACACGGUUCGUAUAUCCCCCCGUAUUUGCGAGAUACCGCAAGCGAUGUGGCAGCCUGGUCCAGCCAGUAUUCCUCAGAUGUUGCAACACCCUCAAUCGACUGAUAUGAACGUACAAUGAGAAAGACAAAAUAUACCAAUACUAAUUAAUAUAGACUUAGUUAUAUAUAUAGAAAAUGGAUUCAAGCCUUAUUAUAUGCAUAGUCAAUUUCAGAAAGAUGCAAUUCAAGAGAUGAAACAUACGUUGUUUAACUUGACUAUAUCCUUUUGAAGAGCUUUGAUCUUCUUUAUGGACUUGUCGACGAACAUAGUACUACCGGAGUUGAAAAAGCCCAUUCGAAUCCAAAACAAUCUUUAAAAAAAAAACAAAGAAGAUUAGCUAGGGCUUAUCGAUCAGUCUUUUUACGAUCAUAAGACGAUGUAAUUCGAGAUGGACACAAACCUGACGGAUGCUGAAGCAAUUUAGCUCUGAGCGAAGAAUUCAAAGACCUUUUGCCUUAUGGGUUAAUGGUUUCAUGGAAAUCAUAUGUAACAAAAAGAAAAAGAUAAAGUGCAGCUCUAUAUAAAAACUUCCAAUUUGCUUCCCCAAAAAAUAUUGUGUAUCUUCUAAUAAAUUUGUCAAUACGUGACCCAUUUUGGAAACAGGAUAUAUAUAUUUUUUACGAAAUUCUUUAAACAGCAAAAUAGAGAUAUGUACAUUAAGACUAGUAAGAAAAUAAUAAGAAGAAUAGAAAAGUUAAAUAAAUAUUCCAAAAAGAAAAAAUCUCAUUUUUCUUAAUCAAAAACGGAUUGUAAGAACCCGGCCUGAUUCAGCUGUUAUCGGCCCAACUUACAAAAUGGGCUUUCAACAAGUGCAGAGGCCUAACUAGAUAAUUAGAGAUGGAAGAAGGCCCAACACCUUGAUGUAAAUUUAGAGAAAAGUACGACGCCGCCCUUUCUCGCUUUGAGUAGAAGUCAUACUGUCAAAGGGUAUAUCUGUCUUUUAAAAAAAGAAUUUAAAUUAAAUAAAAGCAAGGAAAUUGAGUGGGGAAAGCAGAAAAUUAAGAAAGGAGAGAGUUUGAAGUUUGAAAAGUUGGGAGAGAAACGAAGCAAGCGGAGGUGUGGAGAACAGGUGUGUUCGUUGUCGACGCCGUGCUUGGAGAACAGGUUUUCUUCUUCUUUGCUCUUCCUUCAAUGCCGUAUUAAGCUUCUUCUUCUUCAACUUUUGCUGUCUAAAAGUUGUAUUAUCUUAUUUUCAGCUUCUAGAUUUUCGAUUUGCCUUGUGCUCCUUGUUGAUUUUAGGUUUUAGUUUUGCCUGAUUCUUCUCGAUUUAGGUUACUAUGGUUGGUUCAAACAUUGGAUUGUUGCUAAUUUGAUUUUGAAUUUUGCAUUUGGUCUCUGAUUCAAAUUAGGCACAAGAGAAGGCGGAUCUUGUGCUUCUCAUCUCUACUUGGAUCGAUUGUUGCUACUUUGCUUUAGUUUCAUAUCUCGUCUCUGAUUUGACUGAGACGACUUGUGCGUAUAAUCGAUUGUUUUUUUGCAAUUCGUCUCUGAUUUGACUGAGACUAAGAACUCUCUCGUGCAUCAUAUCAUCUCUGCUAUGAUCGAUUGUUAUUUUGAGUGACUUUUGCAUUUCGUUUCUGAGACGAAGAAAGCUAUUGUGCUUUUCAUCUUUAUUGUUUCUGAUUAUCUUACAAUGUUGUUAAUUGAUGAGUGUUUAUUUGAAGCAUGCAUUUGUGGUCCGAUUUUGUUGACUGUAACUCUGGCUCAGUGAUGUUUGUGAAUUUAUUUUUGUCCUGUCUCUUUAUCACGACCUUGUUCUUUUGACUGAGUUUUGGUUACUAUCAUUGGUUGAAAUGAUGAAGAAAACACUCUUGUGCUUCUUUGCUCUACUAUUGUUGGCGUCUAAGAGUACUCAAGAUUCAUGCAUUUCCCUUUUUCUGCCAUUGCUUUAUAUAUUUUCACACAUGAUGUUUCUUAAUUUGACACAGGAUAUUCCAGUGGCUUAAACGGUGUCUCUGUGGAGACACAAACAUAACUAUUGAUCAGGCAAUAGCUUUGGUUGAUGAAGAGAUCGCCAACUUGCGAAAAUUGGAGCGAGGGUAUCAAACUAAUAUCCGCAACGCAGAAAAUGCCAGAGAUCAAACUAAUGUCCAGAUAGGUACUAUUUCUACUCGUCUAGUCACUUCAAUAUUGUUUCUUAAUAUUGUUGGUUAAUUCUCUUCUGUUGUUUUAUCGCAGAAAGGGACAGCUUCAACGAUACUAUUCGACUUUUACAAGCAGAGUGUAAUCUCAUCAACCUAGAGAUCCCAACCCUCAAUGAAGAGGUAAAUCUUUAUAUGUAUUUUGGUUUUGACGGCUCUCAAACCAUAUCAUUUUUAUUUAUUUAUAUGAUUCUUCUAAAUGUUAUUAUUAUAUUGGAUUUUGUUACAGAAAUUUGCGAUUACAAGGUUGAAAUCAGCAAAACAUUUCUUUGGUGCUGUUAGUUCGGUGAACAAGACCAGAGAAAGAUACCACCAGUGGUAAGAGUUUUUCUUUAAAAUAUGUACCUAGAUUAUUUCUUUUUUAAUUUCAGAAAAAAUGUUUUUAAUACUGAUUUUUUUUUUCUUUUGGCAGAGGGUAAUAAAGAAGAGAAGAUCUAUCGUGUUUAAAUUGCUUUGCGAAUCAAGUUGCUUGCAUUUUGCAUUAGGCAAUAAAAUACCAAAUAAAGUACUCUAUCUUCACUUCCUAUGGAAUUGGCCUUUUUUGAACUAUUCGAUGGUUUGUUUUGAAUACUGAUUGCUUUGUGAAAAUAGAAUUCACCAGCCACUUCUCAAUAUUGUCACAUGUUUCUGAUUUCAGUUUUCUAUUUAUAGACCUAGAAACAUACAACAUUUACGAGAUACUAAGUAAUCAGAAAAUGAAGAUAUAUCAUUCCACUAAUGUUCAUCGCCUUGGUCGUACUCUUGACAUCAUUCCCCACUCCAACGCUCUCUUAUUGCAAAUGGUCACUUCAUUUGUGACUGCUAAAUUUGAAAGAUAAAGCCACGUGGGAGAAAUGUUGUGAUAGACUAAUAAUAGCAGGUCCUAUUGGUUAAUAAAUUCGUAUUGUUUAGUCCCCAAGAAGCUUAGAAUUCACUUCCCUCCGAUCCUUUUUGGCUUCCUUGAAGCUCAAGGAAGGUAAAGCCCUAGAGUGUUGUAAAGAAAUGAUUAAGCAAGUGGAUGAAGAUGGACAUGGUAGAGUCGAUUACAAGGAGUUUCUUCAGAUGAUGAAAACUGGUGACUUUAGCAAUAGAUGAGUUGAUCUUUUUAGGGUUCAUAGUUUCUAUAUCUAAUUGGGUUUAUCUAUUUUCUCUGUAAACUAAAUAAAUUCUGAAAAUAAAAAAUAAUCUGAAAUCCUGAAAAGAAUUUUUUAAAAAUAAUUAGACAAAGAGAUUUGACUAGUCACUUGCUUGGGUGUUGUAAGUCAAACAACAUGGAGAAGAAGGACUAAUCAAUUUACCUCUACUAUGAUUAAUGUAUCAGCUUUCUCCAAGUUAAGAAAUUUGGGCAGGGAUCGAGUCAACGCAGAUAGUAAAUAAGAAACUAGGCAUAAAUUGUAGGAAAUUUCAUCAACCUACGAAUCGUCAUUCAUACAUAAUUUAUCUAUGUUUGGGGUAAAGUAUUAUUUCUUUAAUGAAGAAGAAACAAAAUUGUCUAGUCUUUUGGGCGGUGGCGAAAUCUCUAUCCUGCGAUGCUUGAAUAUGUUUUUGUUUGAGUCUUUCGACGAAAACCAACUGUUUUCACAAAGAAAAAAGUGAAAGCCAAACAAAACGUUUAUUCAGUUAAAAAAAUAAAUCCAUGUAAUAAAUUAUGUAAGCAAACUUAAUUAAAAUGAUCGGAUCCUCACUUCUUCUUGAAGAUACAGCCGCAAAGUGGCAUAGUAUUUAGCUUCUUUUUCGGCUUUCUCCUUUCUUUCCAGAUGUACUGAUCAUCAAGUUACAUUGAUCAUCAAGUUACAUGAAAAAAAUGAAAAAAAAAAAAAAAAAAAAAAAAGUUACAUGAAAAUUAUUACUAGAGAGGUAUAUCAAACAUUAUAUGUAAUUAUUGCUACAGAAAGUGUAAAAAACUAAAAACUGAAAUAUCUUCCAAGAAGCUCAUAUCAACAUCACUUAUCGGGAAAUCAAGCAGAAGUCGAAGAGCAGAGUCUGUUGAAUCACCUUCAAGAUCAUUUGAACAUGGAGAAGACUCUGAGCCAUGAAUCGCCACAGUAACCUCCUCCAUAAGAAUUUGUUGAGCUCUUUAAAAGUGCAGAGGAGGUAGACGUUGUUCCUCGAGUUGAGGAGUUGAAGUCUGUGAUGUUUUUCCUUAGGGCUCAAGCAAGGUUAAAAAGAGAUGAUUAAGCAAGUGUGUGGAGAUGGAGAUGGAGAUGGUAGAGCAGUCAAUUACAAGGAGUUUAUUCAGAUGAUGAAAACCGGUGACUUUAGCAAUAGAUCAUGAGUUGAUCUUUUUUAGGGUUCAGAGUUUUUAUGUCUAACUGGUUUAUCUAUUUUCUCCGUAAGUAAAUUCUGAGAUCAUGAUUUGAAUUUGAUAAAAAUAACUAGACAAAGAGAUUUGACUUUGUCACUUGCUAUGGUUUUGGUACUGGUUUAUAAUUAUGACAACGUUGCCUUUGAUGAGACAGACUUCCCCAUUUUUGUCUGAUUAAUUCAUCCAAUAAUGCUUAAUCUUCAUUCAUACUACUGCGAUCAGCAAAUUUUCAAUGUCUUUUCUAACAUAGUGAAUGAGAAUACAAGAACAUGGUGCUUGUUUUGUUUUUUUUCUCCUACCAAAACAACAAACAAUCUAGUAUAUAUAAAUGUCACUAACUUGAGCCUAAUAAAUAAAGGGACAAUUUAUAUGGUUCGACCAAACACUCGAAGUUUUUUGAAAACAAUUUUGGUCAAUUUCUACAUUCGUUUUUUUUUUUGCAUUACGUUCAAUCAUUUUUAAAUGGCUUAGCGAAUCAAGAUGCUUGCAUUUCGCAUUAGGCAAUAAAAUACCAAAUAAAGUGCUCUUAUCUCCACUUCCUAUGGAAUCGGCCUUUUGAACUAUUCAAUGGUUUGUUUUGAAUACUAAUUGCUUUGUAAAAAUAGAAUAUCACCACUUCUCAUUAUUGCCACAUGUUUCUGAUUUCAGUUUUCUAUUUAAAGACCUAGAAACAUAUAUACAACAUUAGAUACUAAGUUAUCAGAAAAUGAAGAACAUUUCAUUGAUGUUCAUCGCCUUGGUUGUACUCUUGACAUCAUUCCCCACUCCAACGCUCUCUUAUUGCAAAGAGUCACUUCAUUUAUGCAUGCAACAUUUGAAGUUGAACGAUAGACCCACGUGGUUGAAGUGUUGUGAUAGACUAAUAAUACCAGGACCAUGUAUGUGUAAGUAUAUUAAAGAUCCUGUACAAUGGAAAGAAGCUUAUCGUCUUAUGGCUUCUUGUGGAAAGACUGUUCCUCUAAAUCAAAGUCUCAAGUCCUAUUUCAAGUGUGGCUAAAAAUAGUCAACCAACAAAAGCAAUAAGCGGUCGUCAAGCCGAACCGGAGAUACUUAAUAAGAUUAGUUAAUCAAGUCUUUCCUUGUCUUUUUUUAAUCGUAUAAGUUGUUGCUCUAAUUGGCCUUCAUUAUAUUUAUGAACCAUCUCUCCCACAUUCCACGUUUUUCUUGCUUUUUGGAAUUACUAUUUCACUCUUUCAAAUUCGAUACUUUGUACUUGCUUUUAUUUAAAGAAAUAAAAAAGUAGUCUACUUCUAUUUAAAGAAACAAAAAAAAAGUAGUCUAAACUAGAGAAAACGGCAUGUACGCGUUAAUUAUGCAUACAUCCUUGGCCCUUGGGACUAUUCUUGUGAUUUCACUUCAUAAUUAACUGUCACACAAACAUGGCCAAGAUGGUAUCAAGAAGGGAAAAGAUGGUAUCUACUAUCUAGAACUCUCAGGCGUCCAUUCUCGUGUUUGUGAGUUUAUUAAAGGGUGUGGUCCCCGACUCUUUCAAAUGUAUUUAUAACAAGUUUAAUUAGUUCACAUGUCGCGAUUGUUAUGACGACACAAGAAAUUAUCGUUUUCCCUUUAUAACGUUGUCGUUACGAACUUCCUUAAAUCCCCCAAAAAAAGUUUUGUUUCCUAAUUAUCCUAUAAUUAGUUGAUGAUGUUAGGGUUUGAAAACUUAAUAUAGCGAAGAAAAACGGUUUACUAUACUUAAUUAUGAGCGUAUUUUCUUUACGUUUGCCACUUUCUUUCUUUGCAUGGACAUUCACUAAGAGCGUGUGUUUGUGUUUCAGGUGAUUCUUCGCUGUGUUAGACGUGGACUACUUCUACCGGUGUUCAACAAUCUGGUAAGCUUGUCUUUUGGGAGUACGAACAAAAGAGGUUGGAAACUGCUGCCACUUCUGAUUGAGCAGUCUCCAAAGCUUGAAACUCUAAUCAUCCAGGUACGUAUCAUUAGCUAAUAUAUCUAAAGAGAGUCAGAGAUUAGGGACUUAGUGGUUGAGCCUUUACAUCCAUCUUCUUGAUGCUUUUCCAGGGGCUGGAUAGAGUUACACAGGCGAUGUGACCAUGCCUCCGUUCCAAGUGAAGAUGCUGCAUGUUCAUGGUUAUGGAGGAAAUGCGGAAGAGGUGGAACGCUUACAUAAAUUUAUUGGGGAGUCGGAAUGCGGUGAAGUGGUGCUAGGCUGCGGAAGCUGUGGUGGAUAAUACCAUGUAUUGCAAACCAAAAGGGUUCUAUAGUCUAUAGUUGAGGCUUCCUGGAUUUUCGGUUUCAUCCAAAUGCAAGAUCUCAUGUAGUUUACCAAAUUAUUCUGUGUAACAAUUCAUGUACAUGUCGCAUUGCUCUUGCAGUUGCAAGGGCCUCUUUAAUUUCAGGGAGCUAUUUUUCUGUAUCUUUUGGCAGUCUCUCCCUUAGAUGAUACACGAGUAACCUUACCUACCUCGUCAAACUCCACCUGGCAUAAGAUUAACAUUUCUGUAUUUGAUGACUACAUCGUCCCUACAAUGCAAUUUCACACUUCUUUCCACUCUUGCAGACUUUACACAAUAUGUGGUCCAUUAGCUUGGAUUUUCAGUUUCAUCCAAGUGCAACAUCUUAGACGAUGAAAGGUGGUGAUUAACAAGCUGAUUUGAUUCUUCACUUUCUGAUUUGUGAUCUUAAAUAGAGUUUUAGGAUUCUUCCAAUCUGUAGUAUAUAUAGCUUACUAGUUUUUACCAGCAGAAAGAUCUUCAGGAGAAUGCCGAUUUAAUUAGAGCGUAAAAAGUAAAAACCCUUCACUUUAUGUGCACUAACCUAUGGCUAUGCAUCAUCCGAACGAAACCAAUGUCAGAACAGAAGAAGAAGAAGAAUAAACAAAACUUUCUUUAAGGCAAUUGAAGCUCUUUUGUUUUCGACAAGAAAAAUCUUUAUUAAAGAGAGAAAAUGGGGGAAGAGAAGAUCUAUCUCCUAAAUCAAAGUGCUGAAAAACCAGAGACCAAAAGACUAUACUUGGUGGUUCUGUUGAUGAUCUCUCUGUUCCAGAUUCCUCACAUUGUCUACUAUGUGUUGGAUUCUCUUAGAAAGGCUUUCGUUGUGCUGUUCGAUCUGUUCAAAUAGCAUCUCCAGAUGUCUUUUGUAAGUAGCCGCUCUCUUUUUCUCUGCUGCUAGCUGCUGCAUCAGUUCCUGAAUUUUGUCGUGUUCGUUCUGCAAAUGAGGAGAGCAAAGUUUUAGAAUUUAAGUCUUUUCUAGUAACAACUGAUAUAUAAGCAAAAUCAAAACACCAGCACAUGAAUAUGAAUAUGCUAUAUAGCAACUAGUCACGAACCAGUAUCACAUCAGCAUAUAUAUAUAUAUUAACCAGCUAACCAAGAAACGCCAAUUUGGAUUUUCAAAUGCAAUGGCUGAAUAUAAAGAAAUAUUGACCAACGAAAGAGAGUAACAACUAACCGGAUAUUGAUCAUAAAUGCAACCCCUUCGAACUCUGCCAGGCAUCAAAGAGUGAUUGUGCUCCUUGACAAACUUUGUGAUAACCCAUUUACCAGAGUUCUCUUUUCUAAUCAAGAUCAUUGCUUUACAUCCAACCCUUGUUUCCGCUCUUUGUCUAAUAACCUUAUCCCGCUUGCUAGGCAACCUGUAACCUUCCUUGUUACAAACAAGUUGCCUGCCUAUGGGAGAUCCAUCAUGCCUUGACCGUGACAGUUUACUAACACGGAUGACGAACCCUACUUUAGUAGCAUACGCAUUAUAAAAACCAUGAGCCGCUGCUUCAGAUUCGAACUCCUGGCCAACGUAAGGCUCAUCUCCUUGAGCCUCUGUCAUAUCUGCAACAGCCAGAGGAAUAGAAUCAAGAUCCACCUUCUCAUCUUGCUCACCAGAAUUUUCACCGAGUUCAUUAUGGUUGUCAUCAUCUUGCUCAAUCAUUGCUUGACCAGAGCUUUCACCCAUUUCAUUAUGAUUCUCAACCGUGGUAACCUCAAGCUCAACAGGAAUCCCCAUCAUCAUCCCAGCAGCUACUCCAUUAUCAAUCCUGAAAUCCACUGCAACUCAAAAAAAGGGAAAACAGCAAUUCCACUAAUCAAAUAUCUAGCAAGAAGAGCUACAAGUGUUCAUCAUCUUACUAAUACAAAGUUGUCAUCUUUUCUAUUCCACUGUCUAAUUCAAGAUAUGAGAACAAAGCUCAAGUACAAGUGCUCUCAAAAUCAUCCAGCCUCCACCAACAAUACAAAACAAACUUAAAAUGGAACCAUUCUUUGGGAUUCACCGUCCCAUAGAUUCAAGAGUCAUCAACAAAUCGGGGUUUCCAAAAGUAUCGAGAUGUCCAACUUCUCAGUCUCAUUCUUUCGCAGGGACUAGUCUAAGUGGCUUAAUCGAUCAAUCCAAAAUCGAAAAUUAAAAACCCGAAAUAAUGGUGUAAGGAAUAAAACAAUCUUACUGGUCAAAAGAUAUUUUCCGGCAGAUGUAGGUCGGAGACGACGAUCGAAUUAGGUUUUCGAUUUGGGGGAGAGACAGAGAAGGUGCCGGUUCAGGGUAUGGAUUGCAGAGGACGCAGUACCCUAUGACGUGGCGAUAGAUGAUUGGGUCAAAAUCGGAAAGAAGUCAACUCACCGUUCAUCUAAGCUUUGGGUUUAUCGACUUAUGGUUCCUCCGGUGCGCUUCGCCUCGUAUGAUUAUUCCUCAUGUUCUUUUUUUUUCUUUCAUUACAUGUUUAUUUUAUUUUAUUUUUUACAGCGUAAUUCUCGCCGACCGACGCACCCGUUAGACCGGUGUGUCCAUGACUUUUAAUAAAUGUUAAAAUUGACCCCUUUAUUAUCCUUCAUUUACAUAAUCAUCCUUGUACUAACAAAAUUUCUCUAAUUUCUAGCAUUCAUUUUGUUCGUGUCAACCAGGCCAAUUCAGCCGGUUUAAUUAACUUUCUUUAAAAUGCUAUUGAUAACCAGCUAAUGAUGGUUUAGUAUACGAUUUGACUACCAAACUACAUUAGCUAAGUUUUUUUAAUCAUAGAAAUUUUGAAUAGCAAAAAACUUAUUACAUAGUAAUAUAUUCAGUUACUUAUAUUUCAUGAUUUAGCUUAUAUCACUGUUAUCAUCGAAACCUAUCCAGAUAGUUUUAGGCAUGACCACGGUUACGGUUAUUACGGUUACGGUUUAUUAACCACCGUAUAUGAUUAUAACUUUUUUUAACCUUAACAUUAACCGUUAUAUAUACGGUUAAAACGGUUACGGUUAAAUACGGUUAUGGUUAGAUACGGUUACGGUUAUUUGAUAAUUAUGAUAUAAUUAAUAUAUGAGACAAAAUAUUAUAUUAAUCUUUAUAAUAAAAUAAAUAAAUAAAUAGUGAUAUAUCAAAUAAUAAUUAUUUUACGUGAUUAUGUGUUUCAAAUAUUUAUAGCGAAUCAGCUAUCUAUUUUUUUUAAAUAAACCAAUGAAUAUACAAAUUAAUGGUUAUAAUUAUAAUGAUUUAAUUAAUUAUAUUUUUCAAACAAAAACAAUAAUAAAGAAAAGAUGUUAUGAGCACUAAGAAACAGUUUUUAGAGUAUAAAUAAUAAUAAUAUGAACUACUUAUGAUUUGAUUUAUGGUAAAAAGAGUAGUGGAGUAACUUCGAUCGUAUUAGUGGGCAUAUUAAACGAUUUAAGUUACUAUUUUAGUAAAAUAAUUAUUUAUUUAGAAUUAUACACAGUUACAACUAUAUUUUUAAGGUUUUAAUAAUACGGUUAACCGCGCGGUUAAACGUACGGUUAACCAACGGUUUUGAUACGGUUACGGUUAUUAUAUUUUUUUAACCGUAAUGAAUCUAUUUUCACGGUUAACAGUUACGGUUAUUAACCGUUUUAUACGGUUACGGUUGGGUUACGGUUAAUAAACGGUCCGAUUACGGUCCGAAAUACAGUUACAGUUAGAUUUUGGUCAUGCCUAGAUAAUUCGCAACUCUAGAUUUUUAUAGACAUUAUAAAUCAUCCACAUAUAUAUGAAUCAGUAAUCCAAAAAAAAAGAUCUGUAACAUAUGGUUUUCUUUCGUUGCGUUUUAAAAUAUCCAUUUUAUUUAGCAUUUAUUAAAAAUUCUCUUCACUUUUUUUUUUUUUUUUGGAAAUCAAUAAAUCGCUUUAAUUACGUGGAAUAAAACGUCUAAGAAGAAGGAUAGUCGUUAGUUAGUAGUGAUAACUGAUGCAUAAAAUAUAACUUGGGAAAUAGGAAACCAAAUAGUGUUGGUACUUGGUAGAUAGUCUCUGAUAAAUAAAAAGAUCAUACAUGUCAAAGCUAGCCCCGUUUAUAAAAUUUGUAACAGAUUUGCAUUUCUCGAUUUAGUAGAUUUACAUGAGAUAAUAUCUUGUGUAAUCGGAAAUAAAAGUUAUCCUAACAAAUGAGAUAAUCGAAAUUAGAGGAGGAUAUUAACAUAUUUAUCCAACAACGGAUAUAAGCCCCUCGUAAUUAACCUUGCGAAAUUAAAUUAUAACAAAUCAUUCAUUAAUACAUUUCGAUUUUGGUAGAUUUGCCUAAAAAAUUAUCCAUGAAUGGUAUUUUAUUGAAAAAGAAAGUUAUCCAAAACAAACAAAAUAUUCGGAGUCAAAAGAGGAGGAUUAAUAGUAUCUUUUACUCCCCUUAAUAGUACUAUCUUAACAACGGAUAAGCCCCUAAUAAAUUAACCUUGUGAAAUACGUCGUCUAGGUCCCAUUGAAGAAGCAUAAAAUCUGGUCAAAAACAUUAAUCACUAUUUACUCUAAAUCUCACCAAAUCAUAACAUAUAUGUAAACAACCAAUAGAAUAUUACGAUUAAAAAAUAAGUUACCAAACACAGUUUAGAUAUCUUAUCUGAUCAAUCUUUAAAUGGAUAAAUUUGAAUUUGUAUUAAUUAAAAGUCUUGUGGAUUUGACUAAACCACUCACCCUAAUACCUCUAUAUAAACCCUUGAUUCUCUCUAAUACCUCUCAUUAUAUCCAAAACAUAAUCUCUCUCUAUCUCUCUCUAUUUUGCUCAAUCUUAAUCGUCCGAUCAAAACACUCCGACUAAAAAUGGCUGCAUCUAACGGCGAGAAAAGCUUGAUCGUGAGCUUCGGUGAAAUGCUCAUCGAUUUCGUCCCAACCGUCUCCGGUGUAUCCCUCGCCGAUGCUCCUGGCUUCAUCAAAGCCCCCGGUGGUGCACCUGCCAACGUUGCCAUCGCCAUUUCCCGUCUAGGCGGUCGUGCCGCUUUCGUUGGAAAACUCGGUGACGACGAGUUCGGUCACAUGCUCGCCGGAAUCUUGAAACAGAACGGUGUCUCUGCUGAAGGUAUCAAUUUCGACACUGGAGCCAGGACUGCACUUGCGUUCGUGACACUAAGAUCUGAUGGAGAACGUGAGUUCAUGUUCUACCGGAACCCUAGUGCCGAUAUGCUCCUCCGUCCCGACGAGCUCAAUCUUGAUGUCAUCAGAUCUGUACGUUAUUUUUAUUUUUAAUUAAUAUAUGACACGUAGGCAAAUUCUUUUUUGGGUCCGUGUCUCACAUUUAAUUAGCGAACGGUGCUACAUCAUUAACGUAACGGUUGUUGGUAUACGUAACGUAGAUGUCAAGUUAGGUUAAUGAGUGCUCUGUUUUGUUUUUGUUUUACACAGGCUAAGGUGUUCCACUACGGAUCCAUAAGCUUGAUCGUUGAGCCAUGUCGAUCUGCUCACUUGAAAGCCAUGGAGGUGGCUAAGGAAGCUGGUGCGUUGCUUUCAUAUGAUCCGAACUUGAGGCUUCCUUUGUGGCCCUCGAAGGAGGAGGCUCAGAAGCAGAUUCUUAGCAUCUGGGACAAAGCUGAAGUGAUCAAAGUCAGCGAUGAAGAGCUUAUGUUCUUGACUGGAUCUGAUAAGGUUGAUGAUGAGACUGCUUUGUCUCUGUGGCACUCUAAUCUGAAACUUCUCUUGGUCACUCUAGGUGAAAAGGGUUGUAGAUACUACACCAAGGUAAUGGUUUUCGAAGAGUUUUUCUUUCUUGUGGAUUUGACUUUACCAUUAAUGUUACUUAAGUUGUGUUCUUGUAUGUAUAUGAUUACAGAGCUUCCGUGGAUCUGUUGAUCCCUUCCAUGUGGAUGCAGUAGAUACAACUGGUGCUGGUGAUUCAUUUGUUGGUGCAUUGCUUUGCAAGAUUGUUGAUGACCGUGCUGUGCUUGAGGUAUAUACCAAAUAAUUCAUCAAAUCAUUCUGCAAGUUUUUAUAGAUUGUUUUCAGAUUCUUGACUGUGUUCUUUCUUGCUUUUUACAGGACGAAGCUCGGCUGAGAGAAGUGCUUAGGCUUGCGAAUGCUUGUGGAGCCAUCACAACAACAAAGAAAGGAGCUAUUCCAGCUCUCCCUACAGAGUCUGAAGUUCAGAGCCUCCUGAAAGGAAACUGAUUUCACAAUGUCUGGAUUUUUAGGACUUCAAGUUUUACCUUUUCUUGGCUUUGUUUUUUAUUUUCCCCUGCUUUUGGCUCUGUGUUCUUGUAGAACCGUUCUAUUCUGUUAUGAAUCUCGUUUUAUUCCAAUUGCAAGGUUUUUUGUCGUUUGAGUAACUUUGAUGAAUAAAAACUCUUUACCAAGUUCAGUGAACAACUGUCUGAAAUGUAAAAAGCCUCAAAGCACAAUUGCUUGAGGAUAACAUUCAGAAACUUGCAAAUCUAAUGAUCUCCAAAUGUGUUUGCAUUCUUCCCACCUUGAACUCAUCCUCUCCAGAAAUUUUUCAGCCCACACUUCCUUGCUACCUUCCAUACUCAGAUCAUAUGGCACUGAAAAACUGAGUCGAUUCACAAAACACACUUUUACAUAAACAUUUUUGCUUAGGCAGUAAAGUUAUCAUCUUGGUUUUGAAGUUCUUAUACCUUGUUAGCUCUUCUAAAUGAGAGUCCUUCUCGGUGGUACCAUUCCUAAAAUAUCUUGAGUUAGACACCCAAGUAAUAAUAAGAUACUUGAGUUACAAAUAUACAAUAGCUUGCCUGCAUACUAGAACUUUGAAUAGGCGGAGGGAUUUGGUGGAUAGGUUGUAGAUUGCUUCUUCUAUGUGAUCUGUGCCAAAUAGAUACACAACUGGAUAGUCCAGCAGCCAUCUGCAGAUACAGAUAGAACACAAUGGUAUGAUAAAUUGAAAUAACUAAUGGAGUAAUGGUGGACGAAUCUUAAAACGAAUUGGGCAAUUACCCGUUUAAGGUUGGGAUUGUAACUUUAGUGUCUUGUAAACAACAGCUAAGAUCAAUGCAUAAAGAAGUCUGAGAAGAGUUGGCCUCAUCAAGUACCGUAGUGGUAUCAGUAUUGCUGUCAUCUAAAGGAAAUGUCGAAGAGAAUAGCUUCUGAAUCGAUCUAAGCUGCAUCCCCAGAUUGCUUUCCUUGCUUUGUGUUACCAUCUUGAUACAAACAAAGGAAAAGACAAGAUAAAUCCAACGUGUAUUGUAACAUGAAAAGAGAAACCACUUAACAAAUACAAAAGCUUUAUAAAAGGAACAACCUUUGGAGGAUCUUGUUCCAAGUCAAUGAAGAACAACUCGGGUUCUGAAUCUAAGCUGGAGCUUACAAACUUGGGCAGGCUUCUUACAUUUAUGAGGUAUAUCAUAUCCUCUAUAACCAUAACCUUCAGAUCUUUAAAAACUGGUAAACCCUAUAAGAAAAAAGCAGGAAUCAAAUCAGCUACAAAUAUACUCAAGUACUAAUGUGCUUGAAGAAUAACUAGAGCCUAACCUCUCGGAUGAGCUCAAGAAGUGACAGCAAACGAUUCUGUAGCUCAGGCAUCUUUCCACCAUAGUCAAUCAUCACAACUGGUCUCAUUCCUGUGCAUAAUGCCAGAACAUCUGGUCCAAGAAACCCGAUUUAGCAUCGUUUACAGAUUCAAGCAUAUGACAACAAAUUGAGAUAAUACUAGAAUCUAGUGUUGAUAUAUGAACGCUUUAUAAUGCACGAAAUGGCUUUAUUCUUUGGGUUCUUAAACAGAGCAAUCAAAGCACCAUCAAACUUAAGAAUCAAUUUUUCGUUCCUCAAGGAAUUGUUAAGAGCAUAUACUCAUAUAAACUAUAACCCAAAUUCCCAAAUUGAAUCAUGAAUAUCAAAGAGUCGCAAAACAUAAGAAAAAAGUGGAAUUCAUGAGACCUAUUUCGAGACGGCGUUUGGAAUUGCUCUUGAGUCUCCAUUUGAUCUGAGAGAGGCAAGAACUCAGAAACUGAAGUAGUUCCUCAGAGCUUGGAACCUCCAUAUUCGCAGAAAAAUUGGAGCUUUCUUCUUCUCUGUCGCAAUAAGACUCAGUGAUACCCUUUCUCUAUCGGACGUUUUGUUCUUAGAGGAAAUUACAAUAUGGACCCUAAACUUUCUAGUUUCUCAUAACACACCCUAACUUUAAAAUAACACCAAUUAUGUCACCCACGUGUCAAGUUUUCACGGGAGGGGUGAUGACGAAGAACAACGUAUUUUCACACGUGCGAACAAUAGGCUUCACACGACUUUUCUUUCGUUAUUUUUUUCCACAUUGGAUCUAAUCACUUUUGCAAUUCACCGGAACUUAGCCGACGAGCGCUGAUCAAAUCAACCGGAGAAGCAAAGCUAUAGAUCUACUAUCUCCUUCACAGUUGCUAUCAGGUCUGUGUUCGUCUUCAUUUUUACCAAAUCCUGAUUGUUACAAUUUUCUUCGUUUUCUUCUGUGUUUAUCUUCGUUUUCUUCGGUUUAAAUAAUGGGAUAUUUCUUGUCGAAAUCUGGAUUCUAUGCGCAUGUUUAGUCACGGAUAAUAUCGGAAACCCCUGGAGUAUCAGCAAUGUCGUAAUUUUUCUGGUUUGCUUAGUGAAUUCUCUGUGAAGGAAAUAUAGAAAAGAAAGUAGAUAACGUGAAGAAAUUGUUGUGAUUGAGCAAUAAGAGAUAGAGAGAAUAGAAGUAAUUGAUGGUUUCUUGAGUGUUGGUGAUAUUUUGAUGGUUGGAUUUUUUUAUGUAUAAAGAAAGCUUAUAAACAAGAAUCAUGCAAAGAAAUUUUGUUCUUUAUGCUUAUGGAGUUUAUAGUUAGUCAAAUUAUUAACGGUAAGCUCUUUGUGUUGGUUUUGUUUGAAUGUCAGAGAUGUAUAAUAAUAUGGGACCCCGGCCUGGAAUGGCAAUGCCUCAGGCAAAUCCUCAGCCUAGCCCAUUUGGGAAUCCGUUCUCUGGACCUGGCUCUGGACUUAUCCGGAGUGGCUUGGGAGCUUAUGGGGAGAAGAUUUUCGGUUCUAGCUCUGAGUAUGUGCAGAGCAACGUAAGUUACUCCUAUCUGUCACUCUAGGUUUUUCCAGUCUGUUCAUUACUUGGCGUUUCAUUUGUUUUAACCGGUUGAAAAUUAACAGAUAAGUCGCUACUUCUCCGAUCCUCAAUACUAUUUUCAAGUGAAUGACCAGUAUGUGAGGAACAAGUUGAAGAUUGUUCUACUUCCAUUCCUUCACAGGGUAAAUCUCACUUUUUUGGUAUGCUUUUUUCUUUGUAUUUGGGGUCUUUCUCAUAUGAGUUUUGCUGCGACCUCAGGGACACUGGACUCGAAUAUCAGAACCAGUUGGGGGUAGACUUUCAUACAAACCACCGAUAUACGAUAUAAAUGCACCAGACUUAUACAUUCCGCUUAUGGCCUUUGGCACUUACGUUGUUCUUGCUGGUUUGUCACUAGGACUCUAUGGAAAGUAAGUUCUUUAUUUAUGUUGUAACUAUUCUGGUUUAAGUCUUCUAGAGUGCCUUUUCAACAUUUUGAUCCUUCUGAAUUUUCUAGGUUUACUCCAGAAGCUCUGAACUGGCUUUUUGUGAAAGGAAUGGUUGGCUGGUUUUUGCAAGUGAUGCUGCUGAAGAUAACAUUGCUUUCACUUGGAAGCGGAGAAGCCCCUCUCUUGGAUAUUGUGGCAUAUGCAGGCUAUACUUUCACAGGCCUUUGUCUAGCUGUUCUUGGCAAGAUAAUCUGGGGAUACUCUUACUAUGUUUUGAUUCCGUGGACCUGCUUAUGCACUGGGGUAUUCUUAGUGAAGACAAUGAAGCGAGUUCUCUUUGCAGAAUCUAGGAGUUAUGACUCAAGCAGGCAUCACUAUCUCUUGAUCUUUGUUGCUUUAGCCCAGUUUCCUCUUUUGAUCUGGCUUGGUAACAUUAGUGUGAAUUGGCUCUUUUGAAACGCAUUACGUUUAUAUUGUUGUGAAAAACACCUCUGAGGUUAUGUAGCAGAAUUUGGAAUGUCCUCCUGAUGGAUAUAUUAUAUGGUAGUUGAGCUUUUUUGGUUUAGACUUCUGUAUGUCAAACAUCAAUAUGGAAAGAAAAGUGUUAUCUCCCUUCCCUUUUCUGAAUCUCACUUUUCAUAUACUACAUUUCUAACAUGAUUGAAAACCGAACAAGGACAUGAAAUUUGCUUUGGUAAUUAUGCUUUCUAACAGAAACUGCUUCCCAUGCGCUUGAUCUCUACUCCAAGCUCCCCAGCAUUGCAUUGGUGCAUUGUGAUUUUGGCUUUUGUGUUCCUUGGCAGAUUUGAACAUUCUUAGGACAUUGCAGACAGUUGUUCGAUAGGUUUCCUCUGAUCUGUUUGGUAAUCUUUUGAAACUCCUCAGGAAGUAUACCUGACAGGUAGUUGUUCUCCAAGUAUAAGCUUCUCCAUGAAUUCUCCAGUCUUUUCCCAUAAAUCCUAGGAAUAUCGCCAGAGAACAUGUUGCUCCGUAGAUUGAUAUCCUUUAGGUUUUCAUAAGUUGCCAGGUUCAGCGGAAGGUGCCCCUGUAAAUGGUUUCCUUCAGCAUCAAGCAUGCGCAGGCGUGAUCCUGUAACUUUAAUAACCUCUAUGGAUAUGAACUGGUUAAAAGACACAUUGAUGCGUGCAAUCUCAGGGAAUGUUAGGAUUUCAUGGCCAACGGUGCCUGAGAAUCUGUUCUGGCUCACAUCUAAAGACACAAGCUGUUUUAGCCUAUGCAAGGGUGAUAUACGUCCUGCAAGGCUAUUGAAACAGAGUGAUAGAGUUCUUAGACUUGGGGGAAGCUUAGGAAGCAUUCCAUAAAGAUGAUUGUUACCGAGUUCUAAUACUUGUAGCUUCCACAAGCCGUUGAGCGCAGGUAUUCUUCCAUCGAGAUGGUUGUUUGAUAGGACCAGGUGAGUCAAACUUCUCAAGGCUGAGAUCCUUGGAGGGAUUUCACCGGCGAUACUGUUUUUCGACAGGUCGAUGGUUUUGAGCUCCUUGAGCCGCGUGAUUUCUGCUGGUAUGUCUCCAGUGAAGAAAUUUUCUGCUAGUGAGAGUUUGGUAAGUUUCCGGAGCUGGAACACAGAUUCUGGUACUGGACCGCGGAAUCUGUUUUUGUUGAGGCUAAGGACAGUGAGCUCAGUUAGGUUUCCUACUUCAUCAGAGAGGAAACCGUCAUAACCGUCAUCAUCAAGAUCGAUCUCUAUAACCCGGCUAGUUGUGUUCUCCAGAGGGAAAGAACACAUAACUCCCAAGAACGUCCCUGAGCCUUCACACGGGUCUUCAGAGAAGUCCCAUGUGCUGAGGUAAGAGGAUGGAGAGAUGGAACUUGGAUCAACGCUGCGUAUUAUAGACUCUAGAGCUUGAAUAUCAGAUCGAAGAGUGGCUGAUAGAACUGAUGAAGGGACAAUAAGUGAAAGAAGUAGAAAGAACAAGGACAUGAUGAAUACUAAGGAAGAAGAAGCAGAAGAAGAAGAUGGUAGUAUUUUGACAGCCAUUGUUAUGGUUCUUCUUUAAGAGGAAAGAUGGAACCAUUUCUUUUUAAGUGAGUAUUCUUGUAAGAAGAAGAAUAAGGAGAAGAAGAAGAUCGUGUUGAACCUAAUUGGAAUCUAACAUGCUUCAAAGGGUUUUGGGUAUGUUAUUGGUGAGAUUCACAUCUUUGUAGCAUCAUCAUUAAUAAAUGAUAUAUCAAACAAAAUAUGGAUUGACUCACAUUUAGUUUUUCUUUUUCCAUGCUUUUUCCGUUCACGGACUUGGACAAUAUCACUUUGUUACAAUAAAAAUCACAAACAAAGUGAUAAUAACUUAUGGUUAUUAAUUUUUCAUGAAGUUUUACUUUGAAUUCAAACUUUUGUAAAAUUCACAUGAUAGGCAUGUGUCAGCUUGAAAUUUGGAAGAUAAAUUUAGAAUUCAAUCUAAGAAACCACAAAACUAGAGGUGAUCAUUUGACCAAUUAUCUAAGUAAAGACUAUUGAAACAUUCCACAAAAUUUUAAUUUUAGUAAUUCACUAUAUAUAGACGUUUGAUUUUACAUAUAAAUACAUUGAUGAUUCAACCAAAAGAUACAGAAAACAAAAAAAAAAAAUAAAACCAAAAACAGAAAAAAAAACAAAAAAAAAAACAAGAACCAUUUAAAAAGCUUAUCAAGCACAAUGGCCAUCGAAAAGAGAACCAUGAUUGCCUCCUUCAUCAUCGUUCUGAUGAUGGUAACGAUGAUCGCAACCAACGUUGAGGCCCGGAAUCAUGUCAAAAUCAAGCCACCAGCAAACCCCAAGUUCUUCUUUUUCUAAAUUGAUGGCUCAUAAUGUUUACAAGAAAUAAAUGGUUGGCUUCAACAAGGAGCUUCAAGCCUUCAAGCAUUAGUUAAACUAAUGUUUACUUUUUAUAUAUAUAUAUAUAUAUAUAUAUAUUCACUUUCAUCCUCUUAUUUGUUUUAGCUAUGGGUGAGAUUAUCUAAAUAAAUUUUUAUAAAUAAUAACAUUUAUACUUGAAUAAAAUAAACUAGUUUCAAAUUUCAGUCACAAAGAUUUAUUUUAUGUUGUAGCUAGAAAUUAAUAACAAUUAUCAUUUAUCAAUAUAUUUGUUUUUAGUUUAAAGAGGGUAUAAUAUCCUUAAAUUAAUAAUAUUAGUAAAAUUGUGUUAUUUAGUUGUCUUGUGUCUCGA